CGCACCUUGCACUCCUUGGUAUUCCGAGGAGUAUGCCUGUUUGAGUGUCAUUAAAUCAUCAAUCCACCAUUGCUUUUGCGAUGGUUGGCUUGGAUUUGGAGACUGCUGGCUCUUGUUAGUCUGGCUUCUCUUAAAUACAUUAGCUGAACUUGUAUUCGUAGCGCUACGUGUGGUGUGAUAAUAUCUUCACUGCAUAGCUCGAAAUGAAGAUUGGCUUCUAAUCGUCUCUUUGGAGACAACUCUUGACAAUCUGACCUCAAAUCAGGUAGGACUACCCGCUGAACUUAA
rnacentral:misc_RNA from 1 species